AGAAAACAUGGAGUUGUUCCUUUGGCCACAUACAUGAGAAUCUAAAAUAUGUGUGAUAUUGUAGACAUCAAGGGAAUGGGCACUGUUCAAAAAGUAAUGAACCCCACAAGUGUUCCACUGCAAAACUGGAAGAGUGUACAAGUUCACCCAGCAUGCUGUGGAGAUCCUUGUAAACAAGAAAGUUAAGGACAAGAGGAUCAAUGUGCAGACUGAAAGCAUAAAGAACUCAAAGA
rnacentral:lncRNA from 1 species